rnacentral:rRNA from 1 species
AUUGAACGCUGGCGGCAGGCCUAACACAUGCAAGUCGAACGGCAGCACAGAAGAGCUUGCUCUUUGGGUGGCGAGUGGCGGACGGGUGAGUAAUGUCUGGGAAACUGCCCGAUGGAGGGGGAUAACUACUGGAAACGGUAGCUAAUACCGCAUAACGUCGCAAGACCAAAGUGGGGGACCUUCGGGCCUCACACCAUCGGAUGUGCCCAGAUGGGAUUAGCUAGUAGGUGGGGUAAUGGCUCACCUAGGCGACGAUCCCUAGCUGGUCUGAGAGGAUGACCAGCCACACUGGAACUGAGACACGGUCCAGACUCCUACGGGAGGCAGCAGUGGGGAAUAUUGCACAAUGGGCGCAAGCCUGAUGCAGCCAUGCCGCGUGUAUGAAGAGGGCCUUCGGGUUGUAAAGUACUUUCAGCGGGGAGGAAGGCGGUGAGGUUAAUAACCUCGCCGAUUGACGUUACCCGCAGAAGAAGCACCGGCUAACUCCGUGCCAGCCGCCGCAGUAAAAC